rnacentral:rRNA from 1 species
AGUACGGCGGAACACGAGAAAUUCCGUCGGAAUCCGCGGGGACCAUCCCGCAAGGCUAAAUACUCCCUAGUGACCGAUAGUGAACCAGUACCGUGAGGGAAAGGUGAAAAGCACCCCGGAAGGGGAGUGAAAUAGAUCCUGAAACCGUGUGCCUACAACAAGUCAAAGCUCGUUAAUGAGUGAUGGCGUGCCUUUUGUAGAAUGAACCGGCGAGUUACGAUUGCAUGCGAGGUUAAGUCGAAGAGACGGAGCCGCAGCGAAAGCGAGUCUGAAUAGGGCGAAUGAGUAUGUAGUCGUAGACCCGAAACCAUGUGAUCUACCCAUGUCCAGGUUGAAGGUGCGGUAAAACGCACUGGAGGACCGAACCCACGUACGUUGAAAAGUGCGGGGAUGAGGUGUGGGUAGCGGAGAAAUUCCAAACGAACUUGGAGAUAGCUGGUUCUCUCCGAAAUAGCUUUAGGGCUAGCCUCGGAAUUGAGAAUGAUGGAGGUAGAGCACUGUUUGGACUAGGGGCCCAUCUCGGGUUACCGAAUUCAGAUAAACUCCGAAUGCCAUUCAUUUAUAUCCGGGAGUCAGACUGCGAGUGAUAAGAUCCGUAGUCGAAAGGGAAACAGCCCAGACCACCAGCUAAGGUCCCAAAAUAUAUGUUAAGUGGAAAAGGAUGUGGGGUUGCACAGACAACUAGGAUGUUGGCUUAGAAGCAGCCACCAUUUAAAGAGUGCGUAAUAGCUCACUAGUCGAGUGACCCUGCGCCGAAAAUGUACCGGGGCUAAACAUAUUACCGAAGCUGUGGACUACACCAU